UUAACGCCACAGUCGCGAAUUAGGUUUCGUAAACACCAGUCGCACAGAUUAGGUUUCUCUAACGCCAGUCGCGGCCUAGGUUUCGUUAACGACGGAGUCGCGAAUAAGUUCUACUUGUACGAAUCUUAUGAAUAAAGUAAUUUGUCUAGGGAACGCGCCGGGAAAGUUGGUUGUUCGUUUGUUAAUAUUAUCGUUAGUAGUCUGCGAAUUGUCUGCCUUAAUUGCAUAAGCGAAUUAGUGAAUUUAAAUAGUGGGAUUAACCUCUUUGCCGCGACAGAUCUAGAUGCGUACCACGUGCGGCGCACCUAAUCACAUUCAUCCGAGGGAACGGUGGCCCUGUGCGAAGCCGCGCUGCACAACGAUGCGAUCUUCUUUCAACUUUCUUCAGCAUUCGUACCUACCUUCCCUUGCACCUCGCUGUUCUCGGCCUCCCCCAGCUCCUCAGAGUUUAGACCUUCUUUCAUUGGUACCGUCCUUCUUAUUUCCAUUCCUACGUCGUUCGAUCGACUUUCUUCUGCGCAUCCCCGAAUAUCUGCGUUCUUUCGUACCUUUCCGAGCUCUCGAUUUUUUCAACGAAGAAAGGAGAUACGGGAAGAUCGAACGGCGCUUUUUUCUGGCAACCAUUAAUCACAGCCGUAAGUGUGCGCAUACCGGGACAGAAGGGGAGAGAAAUAGAGGGGAAGAGAACGGCUACGUUCCAUCAUUAGCUUAUCGAGCGCCGCGCCAUCGUGACGGGGUUAGGUAACGAGAUCGUUGGAUCGCGAUGAUUUACACAAGGUGUUGCAUGUACGUGUACCACAUUUCACGGGGAUCUGCCCCGCAGCCAGGAACGAAAGAUUUCUUCGAAUACGAGCGCCGGGCUACAUAUUCAGGCGCGUCCUGGCAGACGCUGCGCAACGAUGGAAAAAUGCACGAGUAUGAAACUCUCAGACGUUGGGACGCUCACAAAAAUAGAUCAGAAAUUUCACCCGAAAUAGCCCUUUGUUUACGAUUAUAAUUUCAAAUCAAUUUCGGCGUGUCGCACGCGAGUAUCACAUUUCAGUUGUCAAGGAAUCGUUUUCGAGAUCAUGAUGCAAUUUCAUCCCGAAGGUACGAAUGUUAAACCAGGAGUUGACACUUUGACUGUCGUUUAGAUUGUACAACGGUGACAUAAUAUCUUUUUUAUCGAAUCUGAAGAACAAUUUUUAUUCAACGGACAAUUCAGUUUACCAUUGACUAUUUGGCACGUAUGCUAGUUGACCCUUUUAAUUUUCCAAUUUUCGUGUCGUUCAAUGAAUUACUUCGACUCCGUAGAAUUUUCAGAUGUUGAUACAUUGACAGUCAGAACAUUGUAACAAUAUUUAAAUUCAUCUUGCGUCUCUGAAACACUAAAAACGUGAAGGAUAAACGUGAACGAACGAGAAAAUGGGUAUAGAAUCCCCAUUAAUCUAGUCAAUCCCCGUUAAUCUAGUCAAAUUUCUGUGGUAAAAGAAGUCUUUCAAUAUUUAAUUAAUAAGUAGUUAAUAAUUGAUUUAAUAAUUAAUUAAUGAUAUGUUGUACGAUAAUAAUAUGUUUAUUUUCCUUGUGGCAUCGGGAUCAAAACGCACGAUAUUCGGAAGCUGGUUCGCAUCCGCUUCAAAAACCCGAGUAUUUCCAUAAAUAUUUUAAUUAGUUUCCUAGGAGAACCGAAGAAUAUUAAACUAAAGACUCCAUUCGAACAGUUCGGGCAGCCUUUGAAAAUUCUGGCAGAGUCCCCGAUUCCCCAACGGCGCAGGAAACAUAAGAACACCGGAAGUCGUUCGAUGUCUAUGUACCUUCAGCGAGUGCAGACAGACUCCUUAAGUAUCUAGAAAAAGUUCUGGGUUAGAGGUCUUAAUGCCCUCGAACAAAGUGCAGGUCGGCGAACUUGUGUACGAGGUGUUUGCGCCAUUCGGCGGCAGACCUGCCAGCAACUCCUCCUUAACAAGAACUUUCUAAAUACCCUCGAAACCGUGCGCCACCGCGAUGCAAUUUUUGCGGAACCCUGCUGUCCGCGAAGCGUGCUUCUCGGGUGUAAAGCUUGACAGCUUUUGCAGCGAACAUGCAGUCGUCUUCUUCCGAUUCUUUGGAUUCCCCGUUCCGUGUCGGAUUCGUGUAUGGUACACUUCGGGACAAAAGUAUCGCCCACUCCUGAGAAUU